GCCCCGCCCCCACCUGAGAGGACGCCCGUGCACAGCCUUCUGGGCAAUGUAGUUUUUGCUCUACAAACGAGCCGCACAGGAACGUGUUCCGGAGCGGGUCUUCCUCGUCCUAAAAGACUUAUCAGGCCCAGAGCUCGCUGUCAGACCCGCCUCUUCACAGCGAACACAACGCGAGGUGGACCGAGGAGAAAGGGCGAGGCCGUCCCUCUCAUGCCCCGACAUAAUUCCAGUUCUCUAAGAACAGGCAUGUCGCAUCCUAAGCUCUGGAUUUAUAGCCCUCCUUUCCCUCAAAUUGAAUGGCAUCGUGGUCGUUCUCCUCAAGCAGAGAAACAUCUAAGCUGGUGUUUCUCAACCGUGGCACUCUGGACGCUGCAGGCGGGAUAGUCCUUCAUUGAGGACGGCGGUCUUGUCCAUCGAAGGAUGUUUACGGCAUCUUUGGACUCCAACCACUAGAUGCCAGGACCACCUACACCCAAGGCCAGACAACCCAAAGUGGCUGCAAACACUGCCAAAUGUCUCCUGGGGGUACAAAUCCCAACUGCUGAGAAGUAUUACUCUAACCCCUCUCUUGUACUGGCAGAGGAUGUUGGCCCUUGAAACAAGUGAUAAUCUCGGAGGCACACAGACACAAAGGAGCCCCAUAACCGAGAUCAUGCCGUUUGGGACAAUACCUGUUGGCACUGAAGGCAAAGGCCUCCCGGGGGCCUGCCUGCCUCACUCUCUUCUUGGAGAACAUCCCAUCACUCACAGCCCUGCUGAGGACACUUGAGCCAAUCAGGCUCACGCAGUCAGCUCCCUCUCUGGAAUGUGAAAUAAGAACCUCGGAUGGAGGCCAGUCUGCGCUGGGCACUGGGUGAGAGGUCCAGAGAAGUACUGGCUCGGGUGGCCAUUCCUGCCCCAAGGACACCCACACAGCCCAGCAGCACACAGAGAAAGAGGAACAACAUAAACACGCAAAGACGCGGAGACCAGGAAUCGGGGGG